rnacentral:tRNA from 1 species
GUGCCCAUAGCUCAAUUGGACAGAGUGUCUGACUACGAAUCAGGAGGUUUGGGGUUCGACUCCUCAUGGGCACACCA